UGCAGUCGAGCGGAUGACAGGAGCUUGCUCCUGGAUUCAGCGGCGGACGGGUGAGUAAUGCCUAGGAAUCUGCCUGGUAGUGGGGGACAACGUUUCGAAAGGAACGCUAAUACCGCAUACGUCCUACGGGAGAAAGCAGGGGACCUUCGGGCCUUGCGCUAUCAGAUGAGCCUAGGUCGGAUUAGCUUGUUGGUGAGGUAAUGGCUCACCAAGGCGACGAUCCGUAACUGGUCUGAGAGGAUGAUCAGUCACACUGGAACUGAGACACGGUCCAGACUCCUACGGGAGGCAGCAGUGGGGAAUAUUGGACAAUGGGCGAAAGCCUGAUCCAGCCAUGCCGCGUGUGUGAAGAAGGUCUUCGGAUUGUAAAGCACUUUAAGUUGGGAGGAAGGGUUGUAGAUUAAUACUCUGCAA
rnacentral:rRNA from 1 species